GACAGAGGGUGCAAACGUUGUUCGGAAUUACUGGGCGUAAAGCGCACGUAGGCGGAUGUGUCAGUCAGGGGUGAAAUCCCGGAGCUCAACUUCGGAACUGCCCUUGAUACAGCACGUCUUGAGUCCGGAAGAGGUGGGUGGAAUUCCUAGUGUAGAGGUGAAAUUCGUAGAUAUUAGGAAGAACACCGGUGGCGAAGGCGGCCCACUGAUCCGGUACUGACGCUGAGGUGCGAAAGCGUGGGGAGCAAACAGG
rnacentral:rRNA from 1 species